UACGUAGGGGGCAAGCGUUGUCCGGAUUUAUUGGGCGUAAAAGGCUUGUAGGUGGCCACGCCAAGUCGGAUGUGAAAUCUCCCGGCUCAACUGGGAGGGGUCAUUCGAUACUGGCGGGCUCGAGGCCGGUAGGGGGAAGUGGAAUUCCCGGUGUAGUGGUGGAAUGCGUAGAUAUCGGGAGGAACACCAGUGGCGAAGGCGGCGAUCUGGGAAGAUACUGACGCUGAGGUGCGAAAGCGUGGGGAGCAAACAGG
rnacentral:rRNA from 1 species